UAAUAGCCCUUGGAUGCAUUUGAACGGCUCAUAUUAAAAUCCUUGUAAACUCGUGCACCAAAAAAAAAUGCAAAAGAUUCUUCACAAACAUAGGAAAAGUUGUUGGAGUAAUUGGAUAACCAACAUUCGAGGCAACGCGCCAUAUAUGCGCAAUUAUCAUUUACUUGCCAACAUUUAAGCUCUUCCAAACCAACCACUUGAGCAUAUAAGUAACUAGCAAGAAGUGCCCAUGCUAUGCUGCAUGUUUUAGAAUUGUGUAAAAUAUGUAGAUAGUUAUAAAUAUAUACGAUAGGCAAUAUUAUUUACGUACAUAUAGAAAUUUACUUACAACCCUAUUUACAAUAAGAAACAAAAUAGGAAAGAAUUUUGUCCUAUCUACAUAGUACUUACAACCUUAUUUAAUCAUUGAGCAUAUGUUUGUCACACGUGAUGGACUGUUGAUAAGAUUAUCUCUUAUGUAUCAACAGAAUUAACCAAACAAAUACGAGAAUUCAAGAAUUUUAAAUUAAGUUACAACAGCAACAAAUUUGUUGUUAAGGUUUUCUUUGUAACAUCUCACAUGGCCCAGAGGUGUGGAUCUUGUAAGCCUUAUAUGUAUAUUCUCAUCUCUACCUAGCACGAGGCCUUUUGGGAGCUCAUUGGCUUCGGGUUCCAUCGGAACUUCGAAAUUCAGCGAGUUCGCAAGAGAGCCAUCCUAUGAUGGGUGACCCACUGAGAAGUUCUCAUGUGAGUUCCCAAAAACAAAAUCGUGAGGGCGUGGUCGAGGCCCAAAGCGGACAAUAUCGUGCUACGAUGGAGUCGAGCCCGGGAUGUGGUCGGGGCUCAGGCCGGGAUGUGACAAUUUGGUAUCAUAGCCAAUCCUUGGCCGAAUGUGUGCCGACGAGAACUUCGGGCCCCUAAGGGGGGUGGAUUGUAACAUCUCACAUCUCCCAUGGGUGUGGAUCAUGUAAGCCUUAUAUGUAUAUUCUCAUCUUUACCUAGCGUGAGGCCUUUUGGGAGCUCAUUGGCUUCUGAUGCGAAAUAUAUAAGCACACAAAUUAAACCCUCUUUUUAUCAAUUGUAGCAAAGUAUGUAAGUAGGGAUCGUUCUAGGCCGGGGAUUAGGAGGGGUUGCUAAAUCACUUCAAAACUGACUCAAAACGUAAAAACAAAGUUUAAAACACUAAACUAGACUCAAAGAAUGCAAAACUAAACUCUAAAACACUAAAACAAACCAAAAGACUCCAAACAGCCCAGAAACACUCAAAACUGCCUUAAAAACACUUUCUGGGCCGUUUUGAACACAAAACACAAUUUGGACGAAAAUAGGUUAUAACUUGACUCAAGACACUUAAAACACAAACUAAAUUGAUUUCUAACUAAUCUAACACUUUAAAAUAAAUGGGGAUUGAGUUUUGAUGAAAAUUGAAAACAAAAACAAAACUUUGUAAUUUGAACAGAUUCUAAAACGAAUUUGGUUAAAUUGAAUGGAUGGAAACCUAGCUAAGGGGUUCUUCUCCACACAUGUCACACUUGCAUACGAAACAAUUUCCAAUUGCUUUUCAAUAAACCAUGAAUUCCCAACACCCCAGAUUAACCGUGAAUUGCACUAAUUAACCCUCAGAUUUUCCUAAAGUUAUCGAAUUGGAUGAAUUGCAUACGAUAACCCAAAGCAUUCCUCACAAGUUCCCUGCAUGAAUUGCAUAACAAAGAUAGAAGCAAAGAUCAUUAAGUUCUAUGAAAAUCAUAAGCAUUGGCGAGGCACUCGUUACUAUGAAUUGCAUGAAACUUAUGCCAAGAAUUUACUUAACAUGAUUGUGAUCAACAACCUUUACUACUUUAGAAUAUAAGUUCGUAACGAUUAGGUGAAAUUCCCUUAUAUCCUAGCAUCAAACUUAUGCAUAAAAAUUAAGCGUGCACUCUCAACCAACGCACACAAAUCAGUUUUAAUUCAUAUAGAUAAGUAAAUUGAAUUCACAACUUAUGAAAUGCAAUUAGAAGUAAUCAAAUCAUAUAGCAAGCAUAAACAUGGUUUCGAAUCCCCCCCCCUAGCCAAGGGGGAGUCUAGUUCCUCAUACGCACAAAGCAAAGAUAAAUAAGUUUAAACAUUGAAAUCCAAGGAAAGAGAACACCUAAAACGCUCCAACUUCGCAGCAGGUGCAUCCACGAUUCCUCCUUCCUCCUUGCUGCGACACAGAGACUUUGGACAGGUUUUUGGGUUAUUAAAUGGUGUAGAAUGGAUGGGGGAUGUAUGGUGGUGUUUAGGAUGGAUGGGUGGUGCGGCAAGGGGUGAUUUUUGGCAGAAAUUUGGGACAAUGGUAGUGGAAGGUUGCGGCAAAGGUAGGGGAUGAAUUUCUAGCCUGAAUUGUUGUGUAUGAGAGGUGGUAAUUCAGCCAAGGGGUGAAUGAGAGUAUAUAUAGGCACUUAAAACCCUAGGGUAAUCAGAUAUGGACUUGGAUAACCGAAAUCCACAAGGAAAAAGGUUUAAACAAUCAGAAUUUUCAAGGGAAAAGGCCUAAAGGUGCGGCAGAUAAGGGAUAAGGAUAGGGCUUCUAGAAGCCCAAAACCAAAAGGAAACAGGCCCUAACCCACGACAAGGAUAAGGAAAUGCUCUCCAACCUUUCUUUGUGUCUUCCAACGCUUAGGAAUCUUCUAAUUUUGCUGAAACUUAAGGCCAUUUAGGUUUGGGAAAGAUCAACCCAAAAUAGCAACUUCUAGGCUUAACUUUCCUACUUGAAGUAGGAAACCUUGUUUGAGUAGGAAUCUUCAUUCUUCUAGGAAUCCAUCUUCAACUAGGAAUCCCUCGUUGAUUAGGAAUCCUUCUUCAAUUAGGACUCUUUCUUGGACUAGGAAUCCUUCUUGGACUAGGAAUCCUCAAAUCUUCAAAUCUUCAAUUUCUUCCAAACCUUUUGUUCCAAGCAUGUGCUAUUCGCUCUAAGCUCACUUUUGCUCCAAAAAGCUCCAAUUUGCAUCAUUUUGUAUAAUAUGUCCUUAAAACCUGAAAACACAUGAAAAUAGCUUAAAAGACUACUUUAACUAAGAAAACACCAUGGAAAUGCAGAAGAACUAGCUAACUAAGGCGCAUAAAUAUGCUCCUAUCAAAUUCCCCCACACUUAGCUUUUGCUAGUCCUCGAGCAAAACAAAGAACAAAAGAAAAACAAAACGAAACAAAACAAACAAACAAAACUUGAACCUUCCAACGUUUACCUUAGGGAUUUCCAAUGCACAUGACAAAUUAAAAAUCAUCAUUCCCAUAGAUUUUAGUCAUCUUCACACUUAAACACAUACUUAAUCAUAGUCACUACUUACUAGUUCAUAUUUAACCAAUUAAAACGAUGUUUUGAAUGUAGUAACAUGCCUUAAAGAAUUUCUCAAUUCCUUACAAGAUAUGCACUCAAUUUUCACUCAGAUUUUCUAACUACACACCCUAUACUAUUUUCCAUGAAAUUUCUUUUUUUUUUCUUUUCUAACCCGUCCCACAUGAAAGACUUAGGCACUCACAUACAUCCCUUCCCCCACACUUGUUUUCUGCAAAAUAUUGAUCAAAAGGAAUUCAUAUUGAGUCAUGCUUUACUAUGCUUCAAGAACAAGGGUAUGGAUGGUCCUAAUCUAGGCUAGGUGAGGAUAAUGUGGGUUAACAAACAAUAUAGGCUAAAUAAGGCUCAAC
rnacentral:lncRNA from 1 species